rnacentral:rRNA from 1 species
CCUACGGGCGGCAGCAGUGGGGAAUAUUGGACAAUGGGGGCAACCCUGAUCCAGCCAUGCCGCGUGUGUGAAGAAGGCCCUCGGGUUGUAAAGCACUUUCAGUGAGGAAGAACGCCUGGUGGUUAAUACCCAUCAGGAAAGACAUCACUCACAGAAGAAGCACCGGCUAACUCCGUGCCAGCAGCCGCGGUAAUACGGAGGGUGCGAGCGUUAAUCGGAAUUACUGGGCGUAAAGCGCGCGUAGGUGGCUUGAUAAGCCGGUUGUGAAAGCCCCGGGCUCAACCUGGGAACGGCAUCCGGAACUGUCAAGCUAGAGUGCAGGAGAGGAAGGUAGAAUUCCCGGUGUAGCGGUGAAAUGCGUAGAGAUCGGGAGGAAUACCAGUGGCGAAGGCGGCCUUCUGGACUGACACUGACACUGAGGUGCGAAAGCGUGGGUAGCAAACAGGAUUAGAUACCCUAGUAGUUC